rnacentral:tRNA from 6 species
GGGGUUGUGGCGGAAUGGCAGACGCAGCAGACUCAAAAUCUGCCGACCAUAAAUCGUGUGGGUUCAAGUCCCACCAGCCCCACCA